GGGAGUAUAUCCUGGUUGGCAAAGUGCAUGCUUGGCAUGCAUGAGGUACUUGGUUCAAUCCCCGGUACUUCCA
rnacentral:tRNA from 1 species